AUGCUCAAUCUCGCACUUGGUUCCACCGAAGGGUGGCCAAGAGGGAAUCCGGUGAGAGUCCGGAACUGCCCCGCAGCGGUGAAUGAGAACGACCGCCGUCAGAAGCACUGGGACCACGUCCCGGGAAGCGACGGCCAGUAGGUGCCUCAGGGUGUGCUCGUGAGUCCGAAGACCUGCCAGGUGUGGCCCCGAAAC
rnacentral:ncRNA from 2 species